GUGUACUACCGUUACAGGCUCUAC
rnacentral:siRNA from 1 species